GUCUACCACCACACCACCCUAAAAAGGCCUGAUCUUAGAAGAUAAGCAGGGUUGGCUUGCUUCAUACUUAGAUGGGAGAAGAGUUUUAGAUA
rnacentral:rRNA from 1 species